rnacentral:rRNA from 1 species
GUUAUAUGGUCAAGCGAAUAAGCGCACACGGUGGAUGCCUUGGCGGUCAGAGGCGAUGAAGGACGUGGCAGCCUGCGAAAAGUAUCGGGGAGCUGGCAACAAGCUUUGAUCCGGUAAUGUCCGAAUGGGGAAACCCACCCGCUUGCGGGUAUCCUGCAGUGAAUACAUAGCUGCUGGAAGCGAACCUGGUGAACUGAAAUAUCUAAGUAACCAGAGGAAAAGAAAUCAACCGAGAUUCCGUAAGUAGCGACGAGCGAACGCGGACUAGCCCUUAAGCUGAUUUGGUUCUAGGAAAACGCUCUGGAAAGAGCGGCCAUAGAAGGUGAUAGCCCUGUAUCUGAAAGGGCCAUUUCAGUGAAGACGAGUAGGGCGGGGCACGUGAAACCCUGUCUGAACAUGGGGGGACCAUCCUCCAAGGCUAAAUACUACUGACCGACCGAUAGUGAACCAGUACCGUGAGGGAAAGGCGAAAAGAACCCCGGAGAGGGGAGUGAAAUAGAACCUGAAACCGUGUGCGUACAAGCAGUAGGAGCUCCGCAAGGAGUGACUGCGUACCUUUUGUAUAAUGGGUCAGCGACUUACUGUUCGUGGCAAGCUUAACCGUAUAGGGGAGGCGAAGGGAAACCGAGUCUGAUAAGGGCGCAUAGUCGCGGGCAGUAGACCCGAAACCGGGUGAUCUAGUCAUGCCCAGGGUGAAGGUGCGGUAACACGCACUGGAGGCCCGAACCCACUCCCGUUGCAAAGGUAGGGGAUGAGGUGUGAUUAGGAGUGAAAAGCUAAUCGAACCCGGAGAUAGCUGGUUCUCCUCGAAAGCUAUUUAGGUAGCGCCUCAUAUGUAUCCUCUCGGGGGUAGAGCACUGUUAUGGCUAGGGGGUCAUCGCGACUUACCAAACCAUUGCAAACUCCGAAUACCGAGACGGACUGUAUGGGAGACACACGGCGGGUGCUAACGUCCGUCGUGAAAAGGGAAACAACCCAGACCCACAGCUAAGGUCCCAAAUUUUGUGCUAAGUGGAAAACCAUGUGGAAAGGCACAGACAGCCAGGAGGUUGGCUUAGAAGCAGCCACCCUUUAAAGAAAGCGUAAUAGCUCACUGGUCGAGUCGGUCUGCGGGGAAGAUUUAACGGGGCUAAGCACAGAACCGAAGCUUGGGGUGCAUAACUUUGUUAUGCGCGGUAGAGGAGCGUUCCGUAAGCCGUUGAAGGUGGAUUGAGAAGUCUGCUGGAGGUAUCGGAAGUGCGAAUGCUGACAUGAGUAACGAUAAUGCGGGUGAAAAACCCGCACGCCGAAAGCCCAAGGUUUCCUUGCGCAACGUUAAUCGGCGCAGGGUGAGUCGGCCCCUAAGGCGAGGACGAAAGUCGUAGUCGAUGGGAAGCAGGUUAAUAUUCCUGCACCUCGCGUAAGUGCGAUGGAGGGACGGAGAAGGUUAGGUGUACCAGGCGUUGGUUGUCCUGGGGAAAGGCGGUAGGUUUGGAUCUUUGGCAAAUCCGGGAUCCUUUAAGACCGAGCACCGAGACGAGCCUUUAUGGCGAAGUCACUGAUACCACGCUUCCAGGAAAAGCUCCUAAGCUUCAGCUUACGCAGACCGUACCGUAAACCGACACAGGUGGGUAGGAUGAGAAUUCUCAGGCGCUUGAGAGAACUCGGGUGAAGGAACUAGGCAACAUGGCACCGUAACUUCGGGAGAAGGUGCACCCUUUUUGGUGGCUCGUGCGAGCUAUAGCUGAAGAGGGUCGCAGUAACCAGGCCGCUGCGACUGUUUAUCAAAAACACAGCACUCUGCAAACACGAAAGUGGACGUAUAGGGUGUGACGCCUGCCCGGUGCUGGAAGGUUAAUUGAUGGGGUCAGCCGCAAGGCGAAGCUCUUGAUCGAAGCCCCAGUAAACGGCGGCCGUAACUAUAACGGUCCUAAGGUAGCGAAAUUCCUUGUCGGGUAAGUUCCGACCUGCACGAAUGGCGUAACGACAGCGGCGCUGUCUCCACCCGAGACUCAGUGAAAUUGAAAUCGCUGUGAAGAUGCAGCGUUCCCGUGGCAAGACGGAAAGACCCCGUGAACCUUUACUAUAGCUUUACACUGAACGUUGAGUUCGUCUGUGUAGGAUAGGUGGGAGGCUAUGAAACCAUGGCGCUAGCUGUGGCGGAGCCAUCCUUGAAAUACCACCCUGUCGUGCUUGACGUUCUAACCUGGGCCCAUUAUCUGGGUCGGGGACCGUGUAUGGUGGGUAGUUUGACUGGGGCGGUCUCCUCCUAAAGAGUAACGGAGGAGCUCGAAGGUACGCUCAGCGCGGUCGGACAUCGCGCACUGUGUGCAAAGGCAUAAGCGUGCUUGACUGCAAGAUCGACGGAUCAAGCAGGUAGGAAACUAGGACUUAGUGAUCCGGUGGUUCUGUAUGGAAGGGCCAUCGCUCAACGGAUAAAAGGUACUCCGGGGAUAACAGGCUGAUACCGCCCAAGAGUUCAUAUCGACGGCGGUGUUUGGCACCUCGAUGUCGGCUCAUCACAUCCUGGGGCUGUAGUCGGUCCCAAGGGUAUGGCUGUUCGCCAUUUAAAGUGGUACGCGAGCUGGGUUCAGAACGUCGUGAGACAGUUCGGUCCCUAUCUGCCAUGGGCGUUGGAGAUUUGAGAGGGGCUGCUCCUAGUACGAGAGGACCGGAGUGGACGAACCUCUGGUGUUCCGGUUGUCACGCCAGUGGCAUUGCCGGGUAGCUAUGUUCGGAAGCGAUAACCGCUGAAAGCAUCUAAGCGGGAAGCGCGCCUCAAGAUGAGAUCUCCCGGGGCACAAGCCCCCUGAAGGAACCAUGUAGACUACGUGGUUGAUAGGUCAGGUGUGUAAGUACAGCAAUGUAUUGAGCUAACUGAUACUAAUGAUCCGAGAGGCUUGACCAUAUAACCU